rnacentral:rRNA from 1 species
CAGCAGCCGCGGGAAUACGUAGGUGGCAAGCGUUGUCCGGAAUUAUUGGGCGUAAAGGGCUCGCAGGCGGUUUCUUAAGUCUGAUGUGAAAGCCCCCGGCUCAACCGGGGAGGGUCAUUGGAAACUGGGAAACUUGAGUGCAGAAGAGGAGAGUGGAAUUCCACGUGUAGCGGUGAAAUGCGUAGAGAUGUGGAGGAACACCAGUGGCGAAGGCGACUCUCUGGUCUGUAACUGACGCUGAGGAGCGGAAGCGUGGGGAGCGAACAGGAUUAGAUACCCCGGUAGUCCCUGUCUCUUAUAC